rnacentral:rRNA from 1 species
GACGAACGCUGGCGGCGUGCCUAACACAUGCAAGUCUUGGGAGAAAGAGGUAGCAAUAUCUUGAGUAAACCGGCGCAAGGGUGAGUAACACGUAGGCAACCUGCCCAGAGGACGGGAAUAACUUCGAGAAAUCGAGGCUAAUGCCCGAUGAAAUUCCGAAAUAGCAUUAUUUUGGAAUCAAAAGCCGAAAGGUGCUUCUGGAUGGGCCUGCGUCCCAUUAGGUAGUUGGUGAGGUAACGGCCCACCAAGCCGACGAUGGGUAGCUGGUCUGAGAGGACGAUCAGCCACACUGGAACUGAGACACGGUCCAGACACCUACGGGUGGCAG